rnacentral:rRNA from 2 species
ACGCCCGGUCCCUUUCCGAACCCGGAAGCUAAGGCCUGGCACGGUGAUGGUACUGCACCCGGCAGGGUGUGGGAGAGUAACACGCCGCCGCAA